GGAGAGGCGAGGGGGGCGAGUGUUGUGCAGCAUGACGUUCUUCGCCAGCUAUCGGUGUUGGACGGGGGACGGCGUCGUCAGAGCCUUGCUGACUAACAAAACAGCAGCGGCGGGCCGACACAACAGAACGACACCGACCGGCCACUUCGCAACGGAACGGCGGAGGUGGUGCGCCUUCUGGCGCCACCUCAUGCGGAUCGACCUAGAGAACGAGGCGGAGCGGUCGUCGCUGCAGAUGGCGCCACCGGGGCUGGCAGCGACCUCCAGCGAGCGACCUCACACUGCGCCAGCGUGAGGAGGAAAACCAGGCCCGGGUCGCCCACCUGCACUCCAUGACGAGCCGGCCGUGGGGACUGCGGGAACGACAGCUCCGGACACGUCUAACAGCUGGACUGUGAGCUAGAUCGGUGGCUCUCGUGGUGACAGGCUGCACACGAUCAACUCCGGAAGCGCCGCUCAUGGCAGAGGCCGGACUACCAGUCGCCCAGGUCAGGCGAGGUACUCUGGCUACCAGGAUGCUCUGACUGGCGAGAUCGCUACCCGAAGACGACCCACUGCGAGUGAUCGCCGACCAGGAUCCCCCUCGCCGACUGAAGUCGACCACGGGAUGGAGACGCCUGGGGAGAGCUGAGGCCCUGCGAGCCUGCUCCCUGGAGGACGUGCCGGUGGAGGAGCGCCUGCAGGUGAUACCCCGUGGUCUGGCCCGGGAGCAACCACGUUAUCCCCGACUAUGAGCGGGGCGGCUACCCGGGACGCCCCCGCCACGAUCCGCCGCCGGACCGCCGAGAACCACCCCGCGCCUUCCCUGCAGACGCUACCUGGAUUUAGAGCGAUGGCCCAGCGGAGAGCGGCACGACGAACGGUGGCGGCGGCGCCCUCCUACUACUCAGGAACGCGGAGACCAGGGAGAUCAAGGUCGCCGCAGGACGCUUGUGCUCCAGCACCCGCGCCGAACUAUGUAUGCGCCAUCAAAGCGGCGCUAGAGAUCAGCAGCCUGUCAGGUGCCUACACAGAAGGACCCGUGGUUCUGUGCACUGAUUCCCAGGCGGCGCUGUCCCAGCUAGCCGGAGGUGCGGGAUCGCAAACCACUCCGAUAGGUGCGGCGACCUGGGCCCUGCUGCUCAGCAUCUCAGCCAGUGACCAAGAGGUGAUGCUGCUUUGGAUGCCUACCAGCGCACUGCGGUCUCCCCGGAAACGAGAAGGCGGAUGAGCUGGCAAGGGAAGCACCCGGCCUCCAGCAAGGGGCGCCAGCGGAUGUCCGCACCAUCACAGGCGCCGUGGCCAGGACGGCUGCAGGGGCAUGGCGCAAGUCAUGGCCGGACUCUUUCUUCCGGUGAAUCUGGGGAGACCGCAUCCGGUCUCCGACGUGAGCAGGAGCGAGGCGGUGGAUGCUCAGCAGUUGCGGGUCGAUCACUAGAGAAUGGCCCGCCAGUGCCUCCACCGCAUCGGCCGCCUCCCGACGAACUCGUACGCCGGGUGCCCUGAGAAGGACUGCCCAGCGGCACGCUGCAUCGUAUGCAAAGAAGAGGCGGACACCCCGGAGCACGUUCUGUUCCGGUGUCCAAGUCUCGCCGAUCUCCUUAUGCGGAUGCUCGGCAAGAUCCACGUAGAGCCUGUGCAGCUGCGCGACGGCGACGUCGUCGCAGGCUUAGCCCGCCACUUCAGGCGCCAUCUAGAGUCGCUGGCUGACGGGCGACCUGGACUUCGCCCGGUAGAGGGACAACAAUAACCACAACAACAACAACAACAACAACAACAGCGACCUCCAGCACCUGGCGCCGCCCUGGGUGGAGCUCACCGCUGGCACAGAUGGCAGCACUGUCGCUUGCAUGGCUCGACUGUCCGUCCGUGCGCGUAUUUGAACCAACGGACCUCUGUCUCAUAUCUCUGAUCCAGAUCAGUGUCGUUAUGUUCUAUGGGAUGGUCAGCGUCUGUGAGGUGUCGCUUUGGUGGUGUUGAAUCUCAUGAUGCGAUGUUACUAGGACUUGCCGUCACAUAUUUGUCGGUAAGAUGUCUUCAGGAACCCUUAACUAGCAUUACUUUUAUCGUGGCGCGCCUCCUCUCGAGCUGUGGACGUGUUUUCUGUACCGCUCACACCUGGUCUGCUUGGUCGGAUUAUUUCGUUGCACUUUUGCACCUCGUCGACUGUUUAUGCUGUAAAUGUCUCUCGUUAACUGCUGGUGAUAGGGGUAACUGAAGUCGCCCUGAAGCCGACCUCAAGGAAGGUGUUUGUACCGUCAGUUAUCGCUGCCAUGUGUGGACACUGCAGCUCUGUCGUCUUCUUAUUGUCAUCGCCGUGUCGUUGUUUGAUGGAACGUUGACACAUUCGCUUCAUAUUGGUAUAUGAAACGCUUCGUUGUUCGUCAUUCCGUAUUCGAUCUCUGAUAGUCAAUGUAAAAGUGUGGUUCUGUAUCACUCAAGGGCGUGCUUGGUGUUUUCCGUGUGUGUAUGACAGUGAUCUAUGUGAAGCGCUGAAAAACUGAUAGUAAGACUGAAUGUCGAAAGAUAAGUCGCCUUUAUCUUCGUAAAUAACUUGAUGUUGGUACCUAAGCCGUUCCAUGGACCCGCGAGGCGUGGGCUAGCAGCUGGUGCGUAGAUUGAGCGCUAUGGCAAAUAAAGGGCGGAAAAGCAUG